rnacentral:pre_miRNA from 1 species
UACGGUGAUAUUGUCCUGUCACAGCAGUACUUUUGCAGUUUACUGUUGUUUCGGGACAUUUGCACCGUU